rnacentral:rRNA from 1 species
AGUGAACGCUGGCGGUAGGCCUAACACAUGCAAGUCGAACGGCAGCACAGUAAGAGCUUGCUCUUACGGGUGGCGAGUGGCGGACGGGUGAGGAAUACAUCGGAAUCUACUUUUUCGUGGGGGAUAACGUAGGGAAACUUACGCUAAUACCGCAUACGACCUACGGGUGAAAGCAGGGGAUCUUCGGACCUUGCGCGAUUGAAUGAGCCGAUGUCGGAUUAGCUAGUUGGCGGGGUAAAGGCCCACCAAGGCGACGAUCCGUAGCAGGUCUGAGAGGAUGAUCAGCCACACUGGAACUGAGACACGGUCCAGACUCCUACGGGAGGCAGCAGUGGGGAAUAUUGGACAAUGGGCGCAAGCCUGAUCCAGCCAUACCGCGUGGGUGAAGAAGGCCUUCGGGUUGUAAAGCCCUUUUGUUGGGAAAGAAAAACAGCAGGUUAAUACCCCGCUGUUCUGACGGUACCCAAAGAAUAAGCACCGGCUAACUUCGUG